rnacentral:lncRNA from 1 species
AAAAAAGAAAACAAAACCAAACAGAUCUGAAACAUACAUUUAGAGUAACACAUAUAUAGCAUGCAGACUUCAUAAUAUUAUGCAUCCCUCAGUUGUAAACCUGAGUGAUUAAGUGAAUGCACUUAUUUCCUUUUUCCUUUGAGCUCUGACUGAAGCACCUGACACAUGGUAAAAAUUUGAAAUCUGCAACCCUGAACAGAAAGCCUUGUACAGCCUCAGAACAGAUGAGAUACUACGUUUUUUAUUAAAAGAGUUGCUUUGUGGAUGGUUGCAGAAGCACAAAACUUUUUCUGGAAAAAUUUUGUCCUCACUUUCUUCAGAUGGUUGACUAGCUUUUUUGAAUGGUAUUCAUAAAGAGAAGAGCCCUUGACAAGAAGACCAUUAAGAAAGGGGAAGAAAAACAAAACAAAGAUAAUCUGAAAAUCAAGCCACUGGAUUUGCCUUUGCAAUUUCAUGGUUUUUAAUGUCAUUACAAGAAGGGAAAUGGAAAAAGAAGAGGAAUAAAAUACAACAUAUUUCUGAACCA